GGGGAAUAUUGCGCAAUGGGGGCAACCCUGACGCAGCAAUACCGCGUGAGUGAAGAAGGUUUUCGGAUCGUAAAGCUCUGUUAUUGGGGAAGAAGAAUGACGGUACCCAAUGAGGAAGUCCCGGCUAACUACGUGCCAGCAGCCGCGGUAAUACGUAGGGGACAAGCGUUGUCCGGAAUGACUGGGCGUAAAGGGCGCGUAGGCGGUCUAUUAAGUCUGAUGUGAAAGGUACCGGCUCAACCGGUGAAGUGCAUUGGAAACUGGUAGACUUGAGUAUUGGAGAGGCAAGUGGAAUUCCUAGUGUAGCGGUGAAAUGCGUAGAUAUUAGGAGGAACACCAGUGGCGAAGGCGGCUUGCUGGACAAAUACUGACGCUGAGGUGCGAAAGCGUGGGGAGCGAAC
rnacentral:rRNA from 1 species